rnacentral:rRNA from 1 species
CGGGUGAGUAACACGUGGGUAACCUGCCCAAGAGAUCGGGAUAACACCUGGAAACAGAUGCUAAUACCGGAUAACAACAGAUGAUGCCUAUCAACUGUUUAAAAGAUGGUUCUGCUAUCACUCUUGGAUGGACCUGCGGUGCAUUAGCUAGUUGGUAGGGUAACGGCCCACCAAGGCGACGAUCAGUAGGGGUUCUGAGAGGAAGGUCCCCCACAUUGGAACUGAGACACGGUCCAAACUCCUACGGGAGGCAGCAGCA